AUGAUAAUUAGUUUAAGCCAAAAANCAAAUGAUUUCGACUCAUUAGAUUAUGAUUUAUCUCAUAAUUAUC
rnacentral:tRNA from 1 species